UAUGAAACAUAAAAAUUUAAUGUUUCCAAAUUCAAUGAGAACUGGAAAAGUGUUUAAUAUUUUUGGGAUCCUCAACAGUUGUUCUUCUUGAAACAAUGAAAUUUUGACCGUAUAUUAUGCGCGCAAGUAUGAUUGGAUAAAAAAUUGGAUGUAGUUUCGAGUGCCAUAUAAUAUAUGCGUAAAAAUCUUGCAACUUGUCAACAAGAUGUGUUCGCAACAGGCUUGUAGCAAGCUUGUCAACAAGUUGUAACAAUGCUGUUAUUUUAUCAAGUCGUUGCUACAAGGUUGUCACUCACUUGUUGACAAAUUGUUGAAUUCCAACAAGACUGUUGAGCCCAACAACCUUGUAACAAGUUGUCAACAACCUUGUAACAAGUUGUCAACAACCUUGUAACAAGUUGUCAACAAUCUUGUAACAAGUUGUCAACAACCUUGUAAUAAGUUGUCAACAAGCUGGGAACAAGCGAAGUGGACACAUCCUGUUAACAACAAGUUGUUGCAACAACAUUGCUACAAGUCUGCUGCAGGUUUGUUACAACUUAUGUGUUUUUAUACAUGUGGAUGGUACAAAAUAAUUUGCUGUUCAUAUAAUUUCACCAUUAAGUAUGCGAGAAAGUUGAACAUUUCUCUUGUUAAAGUAAACGUUCCUCAAGAUCCAGAAAAUCUCACUUUUCCAGUUCUGAAAAGCGUGCUAAUCACGUGAAUAUAUAGUGAAUGUAAAGUUUUUUCCAGUUGCCAAUUUCGCUCAUCAUGGGAGAAGGCUGUGCUGUGCGCGCAUUGCUAUCAAGCAGGACUGCUAGGACCGGUUGUACAAAAUGGUAGUUAAAUUUAACUGCACUUAGUACAAAAGUCAACCAAAAUCUCGUAUUUUAGAGUCAACUACUAUUUAACUGCAAAAUAGUGGAAAAUAUUUCUGCAAUAACAAAGACCACUGAAUUUAGAUCGUGUCUUAUGAAGAAGUUUACACUGUCCAAAUUAAGUCUUCGCAAUCAGACUUCGCAAAGUUCAAUUAGCAACAAACACAAAGGAAUAUUCGAGUAAUGCCCUUAAUCUAUCUUAGAAGAGUUUUAUACUCUCAUUCAACUUCCGGAAUGGUCAACAAAACAAUAUAGGAGUGUUGUAUUACGUCAUAUCUCGUUUAUCGUAUGCGAUGUAUCACAGGUUUAAAUCAUAUACCACAGACGUGUCAAAAUUUUGUCAUCAAUGUAAUACUGUGGAUCUAUCUUGUACUUUACGUGAUGUAUUCCAAUCAGUCUUUAGUGGCUGCAGAGAUGUAUCGAUACUGCUCUACGUUAAGUUAUUUGUUUUUCUACUUUCUAUUUCAAUGUCUUUCUUUCUUCGUUCUUUGUUUCAUUCCAUUCUCUCUUUCCCUCAUUCUAUUUUCAUUCAGAAUUCUUUUUUUCCAUUAAACUGGCUAGUAAUAAUUUGAUAUUUCAGCAACAACAGAUACAGUCGCAUUCCUACAGGUUUUGACACGAAAACACGACACUUUUCUCAAGUGGAGGAAAGAUUUUACAUUGCGCAGUAUAUCAUUGAGAAAAUCAGUUUAUAAUCAAAAUGUUUUCGUUAAAAAUGGAUGCACGACACACCUAUUGCGGUGUGUAAACCUCUCCCCCCCCCCAACAUUCAUAUAUAGUUUAUACCUGUAAAUACCAGUUUAUAAUAGUUUAUAUCGCAUAUAAAUCAUAAGUCUUCUCUAGUUAUAAUCACUCCGCGUAUUUUCAGUUCUAAAAUGUUGUAUUCGGCUGAUGAAAAAGAUAGUGACUCAAUCUUUACGACCAUAUGGGUUAAGAACCAGUCUGAAAUUUGGGAAAUUAAGCUCUCAAAAUACAAGUACAACUUCAGGCUGACAAAUGAAACUGGUUCUUAAAAAACCUUAUUAAACUUUUAGCUGAAUUAAUAAGCAGGUACUAGGAAAUGAAAAUACUGUAAUGCACAACAUGCAAGCAUGUAUUUAUUUUAUCAAAACUAGUUCCAUGUUAUACAAUAAAAGGUUUAAAACUCUAAACCAGGAGCAAUUGUUUUUGACUGGAAAUAAGAGCCAGAUAAGAACCAGUUAUAUAGGAAACACUUCAGCCUGAAGUCAAAAUUCACUGGUUCUUUUAUGCGGGGCUUUAUUUUGGGAUACCCUUAUCCAUAGCCUAUCGAAGGGAAGAUGGCUGUGAAACUCAAUAGAAUAACAAUAUAACUCGUUAUCUACGUCAGUCAACGUUUAUUCAUAAAUCUGGUCCUUCACCGUCACGUGUGUAUUGUAUUUUUGCCAAAUCCACCAAUAAGAAAUUUCCAAUUUACCCAAUGGUUCGAGUCACGGAUAGAUAACUUUCCUAAAACAUUGCUAUUGGUUAGUUGGGCAAAAAUACAAUACCACACGUGACGGUAAAUUAGGAUCGUAUGAAUAAACUUUGACCAACAUAGAUGAGUUGUUGUUAUUCUAACGAGUUUCACAGCCAUCUCCCCUUCGAUAGGCUAUGCCUUAUCGUCCACUUUCAAACGUGUUACAGCAAACUUUCCGUUAUUGGGGCUUUUAAAUGUGCCAUUACGUUGGGAGGCACGUGUUACAAGUCUACAAACAAGUUGUUACAAAUCUGUUCACAAGCUGUCGACAAGUUGUGUUCACACUGCUUGUUCCCAGUUGUUGUAACAAGUUUGCAACAAGCUGUUAAGAACUUGUAACAAGCCUGUUGACAUUAUCAGACUUGUAACAAGGUUGUUCUAACAAGUCUGAUACAGUCAUGAUAUAAACAAGAAUGUUACAAGGUUGACCACACAAGGUUGUAACAAUACUGUUAUAUCAUGACCGCAUCGCACUUGUUGGAACAACCUUGUAACAAGUCUGAUAAUAUCAACAAGAUUAUUACAAAUUGUGAACAGCUUGUUCCAAACUUGUUGACAACUUGGGACAAGCAGUGCGAAGAAAACUUGUUGACUUGUUGGCAGACUACACUCUUACAGUACACAAAUUAGGAAAUGUUUGGACAAACAGGAUCAACAUCUCACAUAUCAAAUACAUGCAAAACAGGGAAGUUAUUGAAAUGCUGGAACACCAAACAGUGAAUGGUAUUGGGAUAAGCGCGUAAAAAUCUCACAAAAAUCUCAUCUGCCAACAAGCAGUCAACAAGUUGUGUUCGCACUGCUUUUUCCUAGUUGUUGUAACAAAUUUGGAACAAGCUAUUAACAACUCGUAACAAUCUUGUUGAUAUUACCAGAUUUGUUGCAAGGUUGUUCCAACAAGUCCGAUACAGUUAUGAUAUAACAAUAUUGUUACAACCUUGUGUGGUCGACCUUGUAACAUUCUUAGGAUAUCAUGACUGUAUCAGACUUGUCUGGAACAACCUUGUAACAAAUCAACAAAUCUGAUAUUAUCAGACUUGUUGCAAGGUUGUUCCAACAGGUCCGAUACAGUCAUGAUAUAACAAUAUUGUAUUCCUUGUGUCAUCAACCUUGUAACAUUCUUGUUAUAUCAUGACUGUACCAGACUUUUUGGAAGAACCUUGUAACAAGUCUGAUAAUGCCAUCAAGCUUGUUACAAGUUGUGAACAGCUUGUCCCAAACUUGUUACAACAACUGCGAACAAGCAAUGCGA
rnacentral:lncRNA from 1 species